CACGCACAUGUGUCUGGUUGUGAUACCCAACAGUCUUGCCAACGUAGAGAAGCCUAACAUUUCCUCGAACUAGACUCAAUACAUCGUUGGGGACGACAUGGUCGUAGAGAAUGAAAUCAGCUCACUCUAUAGCCCAAACUACCUUGAGGAUCAGUAGCUCCGGGUCUCCAGGCCUGGUUCCGACCAGCACCAAACUCCCUGGCCGCCCUCCUCCACCACCAUCACCACUUGAGUUUUUGGCGGCUUUAAGGGUCUCUAGGAGUCGCUUCAUCUCGAUGAGCUGGAAAGCAAUUUCGUUCUCCUUGUCACAAAGCAGCGACGAAAAGCGGGUCGCUAGGUCAGCGGUGCCAUAUGCCCAGAUAUAUGUUUCACCUUUGUUUGCAGAUAUCGUAUAAGAUCUUUAAGCCUACAAAUACACUAAAGAAUGUUUUCAUUCCUACAAAGGACAACAAGCUCCUACUGCAAAAAUUUCAUUGCAGAGAUAGCUAUUUGCAUCUUCUUGUAUGUUCUCCUCCUACCUACACCCACGGAUCAGGAGCCAUGAUGGGAGCUCUCCAAUCGUCUUCUUUGUGAAGAAGAGUUUUUAAAGGGUCGCUAAAGAAGAUUCUUCACCUUCUUCUAUGACGUUAUUACUGUCAGAUCGGGAGUCAGGACAGGAGGUUGCUGGUUUCCCAGAGGCCUUGACAGUUAUUUUUAGAUUGGGAGUCACGACUGGCACGUGGGUCGCUUUGUGAAGAAGAGUUUCUAUGACGUUCCUAUUGGAUCGGGAGUCAAAACGGGAGGUUGCAUUCACUAUUCUUCUUUUUCAUUUAUUAAUUUAAUAUCUAUGUUCUGGAAGUGAUUUUGCAUUCACUGAUAUUCUUUUGCUUGUCAAACUCUCCCGCACUAUCAAACUCCCACAAAACUUCUACAAAUAAUGCUUUGCAUUCUCUUGUUCUGGCUCUGUGCAACCUUCUUGUUCUCCAGCAACUACUCUCCGGUGACAAUCUGAGGUAUCCUUUCGCGUUCUGCAGCAACACUCUUGUCCGACGGUGGUCUAUUGGAACUUAAUUAUCGCUGAUCGGUUGCAACUCCUUUCCAGAGGUCGUCUAAGGUUGUGAUUGUUUUGAUAAAUGAAAUCAGACAUUGUCUUAAAGAGCAACUUCAAGCAUGGAGGAGGUUGCCAAAACUUGACAAGGAAUUAGCCAUAUGUAAGUAUAUCUCUAUUGUGUUGGUGCGGAUCACUCUUGCAAUUGAGUUGCAUGGUUAAGUUAUCAUGCUAUUCUUCUCUUUUUGCUGCUGUUCUUUUGUUUCUUUGUUUUCAAUUUGCUUUAUUUCAGGUUUACAAAGACAUAAAUGUAGUAGAAUAGCUUGUUAGAAGACCUGAGAGGGCUGGCUUUAAAGUCAUAAACCUUAUAAUAGUCACUUCUAGAUGAAGGGAAGCUGACAUCAAGAUUAGGCGUGCUUGAUUUGCAAAUAGCUUGUGAAGUUACAUCAAUUGUUUUUUUUUUUUUUUUUUCUUUGCUUGAUAGACUAAACUUCUAUGGAUUUUUUCAUAGAAGACUAAAAGGUACACAUGCUCCGACCUCUGACAGCCAAGCAACAUCACACAGCUGAAAUAAUCUCAAUCGUUCAUUCCUAACAACCAAACCUAAUUCCAAUACACGUGUAAAGGAAAACGCCUCUAUAUGCACUCUGUACUCACUCAAUUCUAAUAUAGAGGAAUGAAAAAAGUAGUUUGUCUCUUUCUA